AUGGCUCUAUUUAAAGGUGAGGAAAGGGCCGUCUGCAGGAGAUGGGGCCCUCUGCCAGGGUCAUCCCCCCACCCUACCUCCCGAACCUCUUGGGCUCUUCCAAGAACCCUCUACCUGUCCGUCUCCCCCUUUCCUGAGCUAGGGGAGCCUGCCCAGGGCCAGCAAACAGCAGACAGCAGCAUGGUGGCACCCUCUUUCAGUGAGAGUCGGUUGCUGCCGAGGGCAAAUGUCUCCUGGACCUGGGCCCCAUGGGGCAGCUCCUCCUCCAUACCACUCCCUACCAGCUUCGUGGCUCAGGAGUGCAGGCCAACCUCUGCCCAGUUGUGUGCUGUGACCUCAGGCAAGACUCCCCCUAUUCCCCGGGACCCCUCUGAACAGCAGCUCCAACCACAGAAGUUCAAUGUGGAAAGAGCAAGGUCCGGUGUGAGGGACGGCUCCGGGAUCCCAUCUAGACAGCCCCGAUCCCCUGCCAGAAGGAGCCGGGGACCGGUUGGGUGGGGGGAUGGUCAGGGGGUGGGACCAGAAGAGGGAGCCGCGAGGGAGGCUGAGAGUGGAUGGGAUGGACAGACAAGGGAGGUUUCAGUGCUGGGGGUGGGGGCAGUUGGGGAUCUUCCCCACAGCUGUGUGUGGGGUGGGUCCCCGGGUUCCUCCAGGUUCCCAGGUAGCCUAGUACUGAGGCCAUGGGGGCCGUCUGGGGUGCAGACAGCCCCUGCUCUGCUCUGUUGCCGCUGCCGCAGGCCUGGCCCUUCCCACGCCUCUCCCACCUCUCCCGGAUUGCUGGGUGGCCCCUGGGAGUUGAGUGAAAGUGUGACUUUCCCUCUGCAGCGGCUGAGGGCGGUCAGCCUCCCAGGCCCGGGGCCGCAUUCUUGUCAGGGAGCCAAGACAAGCAUGGGCGCGCAGGGUGGGGGGUGCUGGGCAAACCCUUCCCUCCUCCCCCGUCUGAUGGCCGCUUGCUGGGUUCCUUGUGGGGAGGAGGUGUCUGAAGGCCAGGCGGUCCACCCUGGGUGGGGGUGGGGUGGGAACCCGGAGGAGCCAGACACUGCGUCACCUGCAGACACAGGCGAAGACCUCGUGUCCUGGGGCGGGAUGGAGCCUACAGGGCUGAGAUGGAGACAGGUCCCCCGGGGCCUGCGGGAAAGCAGAGCUAGGACGUGGCAGGGGCGGUGUGUGUGUGUGUGUGUGUGUGUGUGUGUAGCAGAGCCUAUAGCACUUGUGACCACAUCCCUGCUAUCACAGGACCCCCCCAAUGGGUGCCUGAAACUGCGGAUGCUGCCCACCCCUCCCCGCCUUGCAGGGUUAAGUGGCACAGCGCAGUUUGUGCCCCAGAGGCUUCCUGUGCAGCUCUGCUCACUCUCAGCAAGGUCAGGGUGA
rnacentral:lncRNA from 1 species